CAGGUUUAGUGUUAAUCAACUCCAAGAGAGUUAUUGUUCAAAAUGAGUUGGUGUUAAAACAGGGAGUCAAAUGGCAUAAUCUGCAAACAACUCUACAGUGUUGAUUUUACACUACAGCUAGUGUUACCCAUCCCCCAGAAGGCUGCAUGUUUGAAAGAGGCGGGAGAUUGUUUGACGCAGCCAGACAAACACUCAGACUCUUUUCUGUGGACUGGACAUGUUCAGAGUACAUCAUUCCAACUGUGACUAGGAUGAUACGUGUGACAAUAUGCUGGUCAAGUUGAGAUUUGGUUCAAGUCAGAAGUAUGUUAAGGUGGCAGAAACCGAAGCAGGCUAUGAAGACUACAAUACAUUUAUUGAGAGUAAUAGGAAAGUUAGGUCUUCCUCUACAGACAGACUUGCACUUGACGGAUCAAUCAGGGACAGAGGUGGAUGCAGAUGUGUUUGAGGAACUUUUACAAGCAGGGGACCUUACCGUCAAUGUGUCCACAGAAAAGUCUGGAGUUGUGCUUCAACCAGAGCUAGCAGAAAUUUCCUUUGAGUCGAAUGUGUCAGACACCGUAUCCUCUGUGCCUUCUGAUUCAUCUGAUGCAACAAUAACUCUUGAGAACGAUGGUGGGAGGAAAAGGACCCACGACGAUCGGGAAUCAGCUGAAGCGAUGGUGAGAGAUGUUCUUCAGUCCAAGCCAGGGGGAGUAAAAGUGUUGCAUGAAUAUGACAAAACGAAGACAUUGACGGAUGGUAC